ACUCACCACAAUGGAAGAACUUUUAAGAAUAUUUUAAAUGAAUGUUUGAGAAAAUUAUACCCGAGAACAGUUAGCGUGAUGGUUGGCCUUUGGAACGGAUUGCCUUCGGACAUUAUGGAGGCAGCAAAUUUAAAUUGCGAAACGGAAGAAAAAUAAUGUGAAAAGCAUGGGCAUUGUUGGAUGUAUGAAAGUUCCAAGACCAGCGCAGGACGCAAUUAGUUUGUGGUGCCAGACAAUCGGCAAAUUCAGGUUUUCAGCUGUAAUGUAGGUAAUUGAAUUUAAAAACAAAGAAAAAGCAGGUGCAUUCUUCUCUGCCAACAGAAAAGUGUGAAUUUACUUGCGUGUAUUUUGUUUAAAUUACCAUAAAAUGUUUCAGUAUUUUAGUGCAGGUUUUUGUUCGUGUUUCCGACCAAUGUUAGCGACAUCUAUGAUUGGAAAAGAAAGCAUAAGGACUACAAGGGACUAACCAAAUACUACUAAUUCCAUAAGCUACUCGUCAUGUUUACAAAAUCUCAUUCUUGUAACUUCUCGUCCUAUUAUUUUCAGUAAACAACUCAAA